ACAAUUAGAAAAUAUAAAUAAUAUUCUCUCUUGAACAACAUACAAGCAGAUCUAUUUAGCACAACAAUUAAAAAAAUCACCCACUCGAUCCAUCGUCAAAUCCAUCAAACAUUGAUGGAUUUAAAUAACCUUUGAAAAUUCAAGUUCAAUUUAAUAUUCCACCGUACAAAUUGAUGAUAUUUUACUUAAAAAUAUACUAUAACUAUAGUAACUAUAAUUAUAAACCUCAAAACAACCAAGAGACCGCUGAGUUCCAUGGACGUCAAACGCACAUCAUUCUCAUAGGAAUGAUGCGUUAUCAAUUUAUACUGCAGCAUACUUGAUAUGAAUCAGAUGUCCUUCAAAUUCAACUAAAUAUACAAGUUUAAUUAACCCAAAACAAAGAUCUGGGGUUGCAUAUGCAUUGCAAGAUAUUGACAAGUCAGUUAUGGUUCUUACAGGCAUAAAAAAUCUGCACUUGUAACCAUGUAAAAAAUAUUCACUUUAUCAUCAUCAUGUAAAGUACUACACAAGAUCUCAGGAAAUUCGAAAGCAAGUUUACAAACUAAUACAAUCGAUUUAAAAUGAUACCCUCAUUGAAUGUCAUUACUGCCCUUGAUCGUUGUAUUGUUUCUACUUUUCAUUGGAAAACAAGUUCAAGUCCUGCCAGGGCAGCUAAGCUAGCAUUUGACAUAGAAUUGAGCAGUUAAUGUAUAUAUUUAUUUCACUUUAUAAAUACAAAGCUCAAUCCCCUAAAUUUUUCACCACCCUAUUCUCAAUUAGCCCAAUGGUGCAAAUAUGAAUAAUACAUGAUAUCCUUAGAUGUCAGUUGAUAAGUGCUAGAUAUGACCUUCUUAUUACCUCCUGGAUUAUAGCUUGUCUCAUUUUCCUAAGUCACACUCAGUUUGCCACAAUUUCUGAAACAUGCCGGAGUUGCUUAUGCAUUUAAGAAAAGAAUAGCGGCAACACUGAUGCAUAUCUAGAUUCACAAGCAGAGAUAAAAAAAGAAACACACCCAAUCAUAGUUGCAAAAGAAACAUAAACGAGGGAAGAAUGCAUACAUAUUCAGAAUCCGGAAAAACACAAUGCUGAUCUUUUAAUUGAAAAUGAAUAAGCCUGUCAAAAAGCUCAGACGCCAAUCUCAUCAGCAUAAGCUAUAAACAAAUAUGUAAUAAGACAAGAUCCAAAGGAAGAGAACGAAAAAAGUAAAAGAACAUGGUUCUUGGAUAGAAACAUGACAACUGUUGGACUAACUGAAGAAGAAAGAUCAUUCUGUAAACACAUCAAGAAUCUUAGAUUGGUCGAAAUUGAUAGCACAAAAUCCCACACACUUAGAGAAGAAGAAGAUCAUUCUGUAAACACGUUAAGAAUCUUAGAUUGGCUGAAAUUGAUUGCACAAAAUCCCACACGCUUAAGAGAAGAAGAAGAAGAUCAUUCUGUAAACACAUCAAGAAUCUUAGAUUGGUCGAAAUNNNNNNNNNNNNNNNNNNNNGCCACAAAGAUCAUAGAUCCGAAACCAAAAAACCCUCGAUCUUUAUCAUCCAUUCUACAUCAUCACGUAAACGCAACACAGACAAACGCACAAAACAACCGAGCAAGAAAAAUCAGAGUCCGAGAAACCAUAGCGAUCAUGAGAUCCCGAACCCAAACCCUUGUAUCUUUAUCAUCCAUUCUACACCAUAAUGAGUCAUCGUGUCCAAGAAACAACAAAGAUCACGGAAUUCAACGAAUUGCAAUAUUUUCUUCCGUAACAAAAAGGGAAUCGUCCAUUUCAUCCACAAAAAAAAAGGGGGAAUGAGAUCCCAUUGAACGCGAAAUCUAACACGGAUCGCCAGAAAUUACCUAUAGCGACAGCGGCGAGGGAUCGCCUAGGGAUCUUGAAGAUUCAACCGCAUCCGCCGGAGAGACAUCGAUAGGGCUUGGCUGGGACUUCUCUCUCGCCUCUCUCCCAAUCCCUCGAAACGAACAAACUGCCCUCGGGAGAGAGAGAGUGCGUUAUACAGUGUCGGUUCGGAUGCUGCGAUGAGACGUUUGAUGGAUCCUCGAAUGGAUCCGAUUAUAAUCGUUAGCGAGACGAUGAAGUCGACCCGGAUCCGAUUAUGAGGCCACCAUAAAACUUCUACUACUCCCGCAUCGUCGGGAAGCGCACGUGUCCAGAGUCGGAAGAAGCAUCGAUGGACCUUAGCUUAAUCUCCUCGAGGGCAACUCGGGAUGUCUGCUUCAGUAGAGACUGCCGCAGCGUAACCGACACUGCAUAAUAAUUCUAUUAUUUUGCUGUAUAUUCGACGUCAAAAUAAUUCACAAGACAACACACACGUAUUAGAACUUUGAAUCGACGAGGAAAUUAGCUCCCCAAAUCCGCAAUCAAUCUAAGACUACUAAGAAGCCCAUAUCUCUUGCUGGUUCCAUGAAAAAGGCACUUGAAGCCCAGAAGCCAUGUUGUCAACCACGCCAUCAUCAUCAUCAUCAUCUCCUGAUUCCCUAAUCUAUUGCGAUGAUAAAAAAGCCAACAGAUAUAUACAUGAGGAAAACCGGGUAGAGGGCCAAUGCCUUUCUUCUUGGAUCAACCGCGGCGCUCAUAAAUGGAUAUGCUGCCCAGUAGCUCCAUGCCAAUGUUAUUGACACCACAAUUAUCUUGACUACAACAUUAAUUUUCAGCGAGCAAAUUAGAGCUCCAAUGUCCAAAGGGAAGAGGCAGUAGCCAAGAAGACUCAGACUCUGAAAGAAGAUGAUGCGCCCACCCUGUUAGAGUGAAGGAACACGAUCAAAGAAAAGAUGUUGGAACUCAUGCUGCAAAUAAUGGAGCAAAUGUGAACUGCUUACCAGAAGCAAAACGUUCAUCGUCAGGAUCACGGCACCGGCAGCAAGGACCGCAAAUGCAACGGCAAAGACUUGGGACUGUAACAAAGUAUAAAGAAGAUGCAGGACAUGUAAGCCAUCGGCAAUGGAGCUUCCCUGAUAUCGCGUUCGAAAACAUGGCACUAAACUAUCAGAGAAACUAAUACGAGGGAAAGAGCUUCCCUAAUUCUGAUUGGGCUUCCGAUCACCGAUUCAAUUCAAAGGGAAUAGAUAUCUUGUCAAGAACCAAAAAAAAUUAGAAUACAUUUUUUAGACUCAUUUAUCUUCAGUAUUCCCAUCUACUGAUGUAUUCAGAUGAAGAAAACAUGGCAUCAUCACCAAUAAUUAUUUAUCCGAGUUAUAAACGAUUAAGAAGAAAAUGUAGGAAGAUCCGGCGUUCAAUUACCUUCUUCACGGACGCCGACCAUGACAGGGUGAGCCCGAGGAAGAUGAUGAAGAAGAAGGGCCCCCAUAGAUCCCAAUCCCUCAGCGCCUUCCCGGGAUCCUCUCUGAACGGAUUGGGGAACACCACCAGUUUCAGAUUGAUAACGAUCCGCGUUAGAUCCCGCUUUACCGUAUCCAACACGGGCUCGGUGAGGGUGUCCGUCGGCGAACCGAAGCCGUCAGCGGCAACCCCACCACCCGGGCGUGGGCCGGCGGCGGAGGGGUCGACUGGCGGUGGAGGAAGUGGCAGGGAGAAGGAGCGUGGCACCUUCUGGUACGGAGGGGCAAGGGCGGCGGAGGGGAAGGAUGCGCGGGGAGGGCUGGGAGGGCGGGCGGUGGGGACGGUGGCGGAGAGGGCGUCGGAGUUGAUGAGGUUCUCGAUCUCGUCGAUGUCCGACUGGGAGGAGGAAUGGAAUGGGAUACUGUCGCCAUGCGACAUCUUGAACAGGCGAGGCGCAACCGCGGGGUGGGAGGAGGGAUUGGAGGAGGAGGAGGAGGCGUUGGGAUCUCGAGGCAAUUACACGAAGAGGAGGAGAAUGGUCGGUUGUUCCCUCAACCGUAGCCCCAUCCGAAACAUGCUAUCCACGAUGCUAUNNNNNNNNNNNNNNNNNNNNUUGGUCGAAAUUGAUAGCACAAAAUCCCACACACUUAGAGAAGAAGAAGAUCAUUCUGUAAACACGUUAAGAAUCUUAGAUUGGCUGAAAUUGAUUGCACAAAAUCCCACACACUUAAGAGAAGAAGAAGAUCAUUCUGUAAACACAUCAAGAAUCUUAGAUUGGUCGAAAUUGAUAGCACAAAAUCCCACACACUUAGAGAAGAAAAAGAUCAUUCUGUAAACACGUCAAGAUUCUUAGAUUGGCUGAAAUUGAAUGCACAAAAUCCCACACACUUAAGAGAAGAAGAAAGAUCAUUCUGUAAACACAUCAAGAAUCUUAGAUUGGUCGAAAUUGAUAGCACAAAAUCCCACAUACUUAGAGAAGAAGAUCAUUCUGUGAACACGUCAAGAAUCUUAGAUUGGAUGAAAUUGAUUGCACAAAAUCCCACACACUUAGAGAAACUACCUUGAAGAUCUCAUGCCCUAUAGCUUUAAAAGGCUCCACCAUCAUUCCUUCGUCCUCCGCGCAAAUCAAAUAGCAGAAGAAUCAACUUUCUUCUAGAAGUAAACCCUUCCAAAACCUCGAUCAAUAUCACAUCAUCACGUAAACACAACACCAAGAAACAUACAAAACACGGCACGAGAGUCAAAGAUUCCAUGAAN
rnacentral:lncRNA from 1 species